AGGAUACCUGUUCUGGCUUUACAGACAAUGAGGUUCAUAAGGUCUAAAUCUCGUCAGCUCAAGCUAACUUGCAUAUUUUGAGGUCUUUGGUCAUAUAUUCAUGUUAGAUUUCCAAGUAAAAAUUAAGACAUAAAUAACACUAAAAUAUAAUUUAGACAGCGGCCAAAAGGAGCUACGUAACAAGCUUUAACAAGCUCUGUGAAGUUUACCUUGAAAUACACUACAUCUAAAUUACCAUCAGCUUAGGAACCUGGAAUAACUUCUGAAGAGAUUUGGAUAAUAAACCUGGAAGCAUUUUCAGCUUUAAAAGACUCAGCUGCACCUGGGCAGGCAGGCACAGGAGGAGAAAACACAAGCAUAAGUUGUAACAGAACUGCCUAUCAGGAAAAGUUGUUUGCACUGGUCACACUUUACUUAAAGGUGGAAUCUAGCAGGUUGCAUGUCUGAAUCAAUGGGAGUUUUUUGUCACAAGCAUCAUCCUGAAAUGAAGAUAAUUUUCCUUUGGACUUCUACUGUGGAUUCAUCUGAUAAGGAGCUUCAGAAGACUCAGUGCAGGCUCCCCUGACACACAGCCCAGCAUGGAGUAUUACAUCUACUUUGACCUCAUCUUCUAACCCUUAGGCUUCUGAUGAAUAUUUGAAGCCAUCUGUGAACUCUCCUACUAAUCAGUCAGAAACUGGAGGAACAUUAGCUUUUAUUUUGUUUUUUUGUUUGUUUCUUUGGUUUUGUUUGUUUGUUUGUUUUUCUUAAAACAAUGUAUCUUUAAAAAAUGUCCCCAUUAAAAAUCUAUUUAAGGUAGAUAUGGGGAAAUAUCUGUGCUUCAAAUUAAAAUAUCUUAUUAUUUUCCUGGACAAAUGCUUAGGUUACAGUGAACUAUCUUGUAGGAAAUAAACUUUUCCAUAGCUUUUCCAACCUGCCAGGAAAUUCAGCAGCCUGCUGCUCUAGUUCCUCUGAGAUGUCCCUGAUUUAAAAUUAUUUGCCUCUGUUUUGUCAACAGAACACAUGCCAAAUCACAAUCAAAGAAUUAAAAGUUUUUUCUGUUAUGCUCCAGGUGCACUUG